rnacentral:rRNA from 1 species
UGCUUACCAUGCAAGUCGAGCGGAAAGGCCCUUCGGGGUACUCGAGCGGCGAACGGGUGAGUAACACGUGAGUAACCUGCCCCUGACUCUGGGAUAAGCCUGGGAAACCGGGUCUAAUACCGGAUGUGACCUCCUCCGGCAUCGGAUGGUGGUGGAAAGUUUUUUCGGUUGGGGAUGGGCUCGCGGCCUAUCAGCUUGUUGGUGGGGUAGUGGCCUACCAAGGCGACGACGGGUAGCCGGCCUGAGAGGGCGACCGGCCACACUGGGACUGAAACACGGCCCAAACUCCUACGGGAGGCAGCAGUGGGGAAUAUUGCGCAAUGGGCGGAAGCCUGACGCACCGACCCCGCGUGGGGGAUGACGGCCUUCGGGUUGUAAACCUCUUUCAGCAGGGACRAAKUUGACGUGUACCUGCARAARAAGCGCCGGCUAACUACGUGCCAGCAGCCGCGGUAAUACGUAGGGCGCAAGCGUUGUCCGGAAUUAUUGGGCGUAAAGAGCUCGUAGGUGGCUGGUCGCGUCUGCCGUGAAAGCCCGCAGCUUAACUGCGGGUCUGCGGUGGAUACGGGCCGGCUAGAGGUAGGUAGGGGCAAGUGGAAUUCCUGGUGUAGCGGUGAAAUGCGCAGAUAUCAGGAGGAACACCGGUGGCGAAGGCGGCUUGCUGGGCCUUACCUGACGCUGAGGAGCGAAAGCGUGGGGAGCGAACAGGAUUAGAUACCCUGGUAGUCCACGCUGUAAACGUUGGGCGCUAGGUGUGGGGGUCUUCCACGAUCUCCGUGCCGGAGCUAACGCAUUAAGCGCCCCGCCUGGGGAGUACGGCCGCAAGGCUAAAACUCAAAGGAAUUGACGGGGGCCCGCACAAGCGGCGGAGCAUGUUGCUUAAUUC